UUCGCUGCAGAGAUCCGGGACCCGUGGAAGAAGGCCCGGGUGUGGCUCGGCACCUUCGACUCCGCCGAGGACGCCGCCCGGGCGUACGACGCCGCUGCCUGCGCCCUCCGCGGUCCCAAAGCCAAGACCAACUUCCCCCUCUCCACCUCCUCCUCUCCCACUCCCCAGCACCUCCCUCCCUUCCGCCCCUCCGCCACGCGGUUCCCCUUGGGCCACCGCGGCCACCAGCCCCCGCCGCCGACGCGGCCCACGUCCAGUAGCCACAGCAGCACCGUGGAGUCCUGCAACGGGCCCCGUCUGCCCGCGGCGGCGGCGGCCAC
rnacentral:lncRNA from 1 species